rnacentral:rRNA from 1 species
UCAAGAAACUUCCACAAUGGGCGAAAGCCUGAUGGAGCGACGUCGCGUGAUGGACGAAGUGCUUCGGCACGUAAACAUCUUUUAUGUGGGAUGAAAUUAUUGACAGUACCACAUGAAUAAGGGGCUCCUAACUCUGUGCCAGCAGGAGCGGUAAUACAGAGGCCCCAAGCGUUAUCCGGAAUCACUGGGCGUAAAGGGUGUCGAGGCGGUUGUAUUAGUCGUUCGUAAAAUCUACGAGCUUAACUUGUAGGCGGCGAACGAAACGGUACGACUUGAGGUUUGGAGAGGUGCGUGGAACUCACGGUGUAGGGGUGAAAUCCGUUGAUAUCGUGGGGAACACCAAAGGCGAAGGCAGCACACUGGCCAAAAUCUGACGCUCACACACGAAAGCUAGGGUAGCGAAGAGGAUUAGAUACCCUCGUAGUCCCUGAGCGGGCUGGCAAGGCGCAU